rnacentral:rRNA from 1 species
CUGCUGCCUUCCGUAGGAGUCUGGGCCGUGUCUCAGUCCCAGUGUGGCCGUCCGCCCUCUCAGGCCGGCUACUGAUCGUCGCUUUGGUAGGCCGUUACCCUGCCAACUGGCUAAUCAGACGCGGGCCCAUCCUGUACCACCGGAGUUUUCAGGGAAAAGCCAUGCGGCUUCCCCCGUUAUGCGGUAUUAGCACCUAUUUCUAAGUGUUAUCCCCCUGUACAGGCCAGGUUGCCCACGCGUUACUCACCCGUCCGCCACUCA